GACAGAGGGUGCAAACGUUGUCCGGAUUUAUUGGGCGUAAAGAGCUCGUAGGCGGCUUGUCGCGUCGUCUGUGAAAUCCCGCGGCUCAACCCGCGGGUCUGCAGUCGAUCACGGGGCAGGCUAGAGUUCGGUAGGGGAGACUGGGAAUUCCUGGGUGUAGCGGUGAAAUGCGCAGAUAUCAGGAGGAACACCGGUGGCGAAGGCGGGCUCUGGGCCCGAUGACUGACGCCUGAGGAGCGAAAGCGUGGGGAGCGAACAGG
rnacentral:rRNA from 1 species